UUUUAAGACCUUUGCCACAUACAAAGGUGCUAGAACUUGCCAACCCACCAACACCUAAACAACUAACAACUAAAAUAUGUGUAACCAGGUGGAAAGUUUAUGUUAAUCACAAAACUGGUUAUUCAAGUCCUGCUUUUAGUAAACAGCACCUAUAAAAUGUUUUACUGUCUUUCUCUUAUGUUGAUGUAAUCUUAUGUUGGCCCUUUAAGAAACGUGACCGUGUGGCUGUCUGGAAGUGCCGCGAGAGUUGUAUGUGAGCAGCUAUUCAUGAUGCGGUUUGGAUGGUGUGCAUGCAUGCAUGCAAGAUUUAGUGCUAACAAUGUUCACUAAAUAGAAAAAUAUUGAGAAAUAUACACUUUAUGAGUUAGGCACCGUUUCUCAGUGUUUUGUUGUUUUGAAUAUCUGUGUACUUUGCCGAUUGACACUGAUUUCUGUUGGGACACAUCUCGUUGUGGAAUCAAAUCAACACAAUUGUCUUUCAAAGAAGCAGGGGAGAAAAAUGCUCCGUAGUGUCUGGGUGUGUUUUUUUCGGUGCGAGCGUGAAGCAUCAGAAGGAAAAUCAAGCUCAUCAGAUGCCUUGUUAAUGUGUACAUGAGCUGGAGUGGUGAUGAACAGAUAAAUCAUCAAACUCUGGUAGUUCCUGUGUCUGUAUAUCCAGUUGAACAGAAUCUCCCGUCUGCACAAACACAGAGAUCUCAGCACUGAACCCUGAGGAGAGAGAAAAUAAGACUUUGAUUAAAGGACAAAGUUUAUUUUUCAGGUCACUGUUCACCUACAUCUGGCUUCUGUACACCUGCACAUCCUGUUUGCACAUUUGGUUAAGGACCAUAACACACUGUGUGCAUAACUUUAAAGUUAUAACCGCCACAGUUUGACUAUAGAGGGCACAGAGAGCGCUCGAGCAGCUACACCAAAGUGUUGGUAUCUGCAGAUCGGAGUAAUGGGCGUGACGAAUGGUCUUUAGGGUGUGGGGUAGGGUUAGGGGUUAGUUUCUGUUGUAGCAUUAGGUGUUUUCAACUUGAAGUGGCGCGGCGCUGCGCAUCUAUCCAACUUCUCCCUAAGCCGACUGUGUUUAGUUACACUAAAAAAGGCUUAAACAAAUCAUUUCAAAUCAUGAGGUUGAUUUUUGAAGUGCACUACAAAUAAACAUUAUCUGUCAGUUUUUCUAAAUGUGCUGUAAAAUUCCUUCAUAUUUUAUUUUUAGACAUUCAGGAGAAUAAAGUAACACUUGAUAUUUUUAAUAGGGUUGCCACCCGUCCCUAAAAUACAGGAUCGUCCCGUAUUUACGUGCAGAUUCAUACCGGCUGACGGUUUAUUGACCACAGUAUAAAUGGUGUUCUCGGUUUCAGAUUUGGGAGGUUUUGGUUCUCGUCUCUGUUAGUGCAACUUUAUCAUAUUCAGUUAAAGUUGUUCAGUUAAGCUCGUCUUCACUUUAUUCCAAAUUAAGACAUUUAAUCCAAAUUAACCAUAAUGUCAUUUUUAAAGGAACUGCAAUUCAGUGAGAGUACAGUAAUUGUUUAAUCUUCACCACAGAGUCAUGAUUGGGUGAGGUGUGGUUGGUUUCCAUGGUAACAUCAGGUUGUUCUGACUCUCCUGUAGUAUCAUAAACUGUGAGGAUUCUCUGAUUUCUCCAACAUCUCCAGUAUAAAUCAGACAAUACAACAGCAAUUUAGCGAUAUACAGUACCCACAGUUGUGGUCUUGACCGGUCUUGAAAAGAAAUCCGAGUCCUUUUAGUCUGAGACCAAGACCUUCAAAAAAUGGUCUUAAGACCAGUCUCGAGUACUACAACACUACUAGAGAUACAAAACAUGCUGCAUACUUGCACUUUAAAAAAGAGUCCAAGGCCCUUCUUCUGGUACAAAAAAUUAAAAAGCCUCGAUGUGAAUAAAGGCUUUUUAACUUUAUUUGUACCAGAAGAAGUUCUUUGGACUCUUUUCUAAACUACAACUAUACGUGAGAAGGUGUACAUUGACGGUAACACAAGAAACAUGAACUGAGAAAUACUGAGGGCUUAAAUACACUGAAACUGAUCAUUCACAAAAUAGAGAACAUUUGUGAACUAAUCAGAAACCAUGACAGUCCCAACAGCUCAGUACGUCACAUGGUGUCAUCUCGAAAUGACGGUCAUUAUGACAUGGCGUGAACACAACACAUCUGAUAAUUAACUGAUGACAAACAGUUACAAAGAAAAGCAUGAGUAGAAACUAACCAAGACAAUGAAACUAAACAUGACCGUAACAGAAACUUACAUCAACUUCUGCAUAUACUGUUUGUUCAUUCUGCUGGGUGCCUAUGAUAUUUAAAAUAAUAUCAAUUUUCAAGACCACAAUUUUCAGUUUACAAGCAUAGAACAUGUUAUACAAAUGAACUUUUUGCUCUAAAACACUUUUUAAAAUUCUGAUGAAAAUGUUUCUUAUUUCCAUUUGGAACAUUCCAAAGGAAUACUCAGUGUUACAUUCAAACUUACAGUAUGUCUGUGAUGAGCAUCUGUGGCAAGACUGAGAAAUGAUUACAGUAAAUUUACUUAUAAUCAUGUAAUCUAAUCACGAGUCAGAAGAUUUGAAAGCAGAACUGAUCAGCUUGUUUAGUUAACAAAAACAGGAAAUUGGCAAGUCCUGUGGCAUUAAAUGCAAGACUCUAUCUUAAAAAUAUUUUAAACAGCAUUGUGCUGUUUAAAUAGUUUUUAUGACCUCGUGUUAAUUGGGAGAUUACAUGGAAUAUUUUUAUUUCCAAAAAUGAAUUACGCAGUGCCACAUCACAGUUUUCCAGUGUAGGUUAAUUGCAAAUUGAUGCUUGUGUGGCCAAAGGAAAAAAAAAAAAAAAAAAGUACUUGACUGAGAUCAGAAAAUUUUAUUUUAUUAUUCAGCAGGUAAAUCUGCAGAUGGUUUCUACCAAGAUGGAAAUAUACGGCUAUUAAUUAAUUAACAAUCAAUCCAUAACUGAUGCCCCCAAUACAAUCACAAACACUGCCCCCACUGUACAAACAGACUAUACAAUAUGUACAAUGCCAUGUAGUGCAGAAAGGUACCUACUAUAUAUUUAGAGACAAUACUUGAAUGCUUGAGGUUUACAUUUAUGCAAUAGAAAAUGUUUAUCAAAAGAAGUGCAUUGGACUGUGAUUUCUUGUAAUACACUUGCAAUUGAGCAUUAUUGUCUUAGAAUCUAGCUGCACAAAUUAACAAAAGGUGCAAGAACAGUUAAACACAAAUUCAAAACAUAAGGACAGACUACAAAAAAGACAAAAACAAAGAAUCUGAACAAGAACAGAUACAAGUGAAGAAAAAAUGUUAAAGCAAUAUGUACAUGACUUACUGUUAUAGACUAACAUACUUUCUAGGAAGUGGUUUUCAGGUGUUGACUGCAAAGGUGUUAAGGAAUUUCUAACAGAAAUCUAUGUGAGAUUUUGCAUUCUUGUCUGAGCCACGUGUAACAAAUCAAAAAUACAUUGCUGCUUUAUUUACAAAAAGACAGACAGACUAGUUUAGAUUUAUUUACAAAUUCACCUUAAAUAAUUUCAAACUACAAUGUACUUGCUGCUUAUUUACACUGAGAACAACAGUGCCUCACUGUUAUUUACAAAUCGUUCCUAGUUCCUGUGGUGCGAACACAGCAAAAUCCGGGUACUUCAGCCAAUAGUUCUAGGAACUAUGAAAAGGUUCCUCCGGUGCAAAAGCCCCUAACGGUUCAGCUUUAUUAAAAGGCCACUUUUAUUGUAUUUUAUUCUGGUUUUGGAUGUACAGAUUCAUCGCCAGCUGGCUGUUUAUUGACCACAGCGUAAAUGGUGUGAUCAGUUUCAGGUUUUGGUUGCUUCUCAACGGUAGAGUAGAUAGUGACUGCUGCAUUUGGCUGGCUCUUCUCUGUUAGUGUUGCAC